rnacentral:tRNA from 1 species
GUGGCUGUGGCUCAGUGGUAGAGUACCUGCCUUGCAUGUGUGUGGCACUGAGUUCAAUCCUUAGCACUACA